GACCAAGUAGGAUGAAACUGCGGACGGCUCAUUAUAACAGUAAUAGUUUCUUUGGUUAGUAAAGUACAAGGAUAGCUUUGUGAAUGAUAAAGAUAAUACUUGAGACGAUCCAAUUUGUAUUAGUACAAAGUGGCCAAUUUAUGUAAGUAAAUUGAGAAAUGACAUUCUAAGUGAGUUAGGAUGCCACGACAAUUGUAGAACACACAGUGUUUAACAAGUAACCAAUGAGAAUUUCUGAUCUAUCAAUCAGUUGGUAGUAUCGAGGACUACCAAGAUUAUAACGGAUAACGAGGAAUUGGGGUUCGACAUCGGAGAGGGAGCUUUACAGAUGGCUACCACUUCUAAGGAAGGCAGCAGGCGCGUAAAUUACCCACUUUCGAAUUGAAGAGGUAGUGACGACACAUAACUCUAUUUUUGAGUAAAAUCAAUUCUUGAAGGAAUGAGUAGGAGGUAAAUUCUCCUACGAAAUCAAUUGGAGGGCAAGUCUGGUGCCAGCAGCCGCGGUAAUUCCAGCUCCCAAUAGUG
rnacentral:rRNA from 1 species